AAGACAGAUAUUUUAAAAUUACAAUUUUACCCUUAAUAAAAAAACAUAUGUCCAAGAAAAAAUUUCACACCGAGAACCAUAGAAACAUUACUGCAACCAUCGCCUUUGCCGAUUGGCAUGUUAGGAGGCUCAUUCUUUGUCGGACUUUGAAUAUGUUGUACUGUAUGAACCUCCCUCUCAAGCUAACCAUUAGAAAAUAUUCUCCACGCCACCAGUUGGAGGCAACUGUUGUUGCUGCUGUUGAUGGUAAAAUAUUGGAUUCAAUCAGCAUACUGGAUUUCUUAAAGAGUGGGUAGAUGUAGGGUUAAUCUACUCAUCUCAAAAAGCCCAACUUAGUUUUCUAUAACAGAUUCAAAAAAAAAUUCAAAUAAACAUAAAAAGAUUGCUAUCACAAAGAAAGAUAGGAAUUUGAAAACCCAUAACAGACCAACCAAUGGAAAAAAAUCAGCACAAACAAGAAAACUCAAUCUCGCAUACAACACAAAAUCGUUAAUAAAAUUGAAAAACCAAAAAGUAAAAGAAUAAAAGAGUAGGAAAGAAAUCUAUAUUGAAGAGUUUUGUGAAGGUAAGAGAUUUGAGAGAGAGAGAGAGAGAGAGAGGACCUUAUGGGUUUUCUUUUUCCUUG
rnacentral:lncRNA from 1 species